CAGAAGUGGAUGGAGGUGGAGGAGUUUGCAAUUUUACUGCACCAAACUUGUCCAUACAGUUUAAAUGCAGUAGACAGUUCAGCUCUAACAUCAGUGAAGUAAGCAGAAUAAUCAGUACCAGUAAGAUUAGAUAACAACCUGAGCACAUUUUGAAAACCUUUCAAUUUAGCUCUAGGGUCCAAUAUAAAUGCAACAGAAUAAAGC
rnacentral:lncRNA from 1 species